CAUGACUCUGGAUAUCCUUCAGGAUCUGCCGGGUGUCGGCCGGUGGUCUUUUUCAUCAGGCAUGCUGGGUUGCAGCCCUGCAGGGAGAUGUAGUGUCUCAGCAUUAAGGAAAGCUUUUGCUUUCUGUCUGAGCUGCUCCAGCAGCCUCCCUCCUUGAGUCUCUUAAGCCAACCGAAUUGAGAUAGAUGUCCCCCUAGAGCCGUCUGGUCAAGGUGUCUACCAAUUAAAA